GCCGGGGUCGCCUAGCCUGGUCCAGGGCGACACGCUGUAGACCCGUUGGCCGUGAAGGCCGCCCGGGUUCGAAUCCCGGCCCCGGCGCCA
rnacentral:tRNA from 1 species